UGGGGAAUAUUGCACAAUGGGCGCAAGCCUGAUGCAGCCAUGCCGCGUGUAUGAAGAAGGCCUUCGGGUUGUAAAGUACUUUCAGUCGGGAGGAAGGUGUCAAGGUUAAUAACCUUGGCAAUUGACGUUACCGACAGAAGAAGCACCGGCUAACUCCGUUCCAGCAGCCGCGGUAAUACGGAGGGUGCAAGCGUUAAUCGGAAUUACUGGGCGUAAAGCGCACGCAGGCGGUUGAUUGAGUCAGAUGUGAAAUCCCCGGGCUUAACCCGGGAAUUGCAUCUGAUACUGGUCAGCUAGAGUCUUGUAGAGGGGGGUAGAAUUCCAUGUGUAGCGGUGAAAUGCGUAGAGAUGUGGAGGAAUACCGGUGGCGAAGGCGGCCCCCUGGACAAAGACUGACGCUCAGGUGCGAAAGCGUGGGGAGCAAACAGG
rnacentral:rRNA from 1 species